rnacentral:rRNA from 1 species
AUGACGAAGACGAUGCCGCGUGACUCUUCAGCGAGUGGAGCGUUGGUGCCGAGCGACUCGGUGGCGAUGGCGGCUGCCGCGACAGCGGCGACGACGGCGGCGGCGGGGAAGCUCCCAUUCCCGCUGCUCACGAGGACGAACUACGCGGCGUGGGCGAUGAGGAUGAAGUACCUCUUGCGCGCCAAUGGCGCGUGGGGUGCCGUUGAUCGCUAG